UCCCUGGUGGUCUAGUGGUUAGGAUGCGGCGCUCUCGCCGCCGCGGCCCGGGUUCGAUUCCCGGUCAGGGAA
rfam:Haliaeetus albicilla contig32011, whole genome shotgun sequence.